rnacentral:rRNA from 1 species
CCUGGGAAACUGGGUCAAAUACCGGAUACGACCAAUCUCUGCAUGGGGUGUUGGUGGAAAGCGUUAUGGAGUGGUUUUAGAUGGGCUCACGGCCUAUCAGCUUGUUGGUGAGGUAAUGGCUUACCAAGGCGACGACGGGUAGCCGGCCUGAGAGGGUGACCGGCCACACUGGGACUGAGACACGGCCCAGACUCCUACGGGAGGCAGCAGUGGGGAAUAUUGCACAAUGGGCGCAAGCCUGAUGCAGAGACGCCGCGUGAGGGAUGACGGCCUUCGGGUUGUAAACCUCUGUUAGCAUCGAAGA